AUCCAGCUGACGAAUCCAGAAUAGGAUGAAACGCAUGACCUGGAU
rfam:Schistosoma mansoni, Puerto Rico, WGS project CABG01000000 data, contig: 0180